rnacentral:rRNA from 1 species
AUGUACAUUCCUACAACAUAAUGUUAAUGCAAUGGAUCCCAUUAGAACUCCAUAGUUAAGCGCGCUUGGGAUAGAGUAGUACUGGGAUGGGUGACCCCCCACGAUGUCCUAGUAUUAUACAUC